AGUCGCCGUCCGGUACGGGAAGGUCGGGGACCGCAAGGCCUGACGCGAUUGGAUGAGCCCAUUGUUCGAUUAGCUAGUUGGCGGGUAACGCCCACCAAGGCGACGAUCGAUAGCUGGUCUGAGAGGAUGAUCAGCCACACUGGAACUGAGACACGGUCCAGACUCCUACGGGAGGCAGCAGUAGGGAAUAUUGGACAAUGGGGGCAACCCUGAUCCAGCCAUGCCGCGUGAGUGAAGAAGGCCCUCGGGUUGUAAAGCUCUUUUGUUGGGGAAGAAAAGCAGUUGGUUAAUACCCGAUUGUUCUGACGGUACCCAAAGAAUAAGCACCGGCUAACUUCGUG
rnacentral:rRNA from 1 species